CUCAUGUUGAUCUUUUGAAGACCACACACUUGAUUUUCUCCCCAGGUCUCAGAUUUUGGAUGAAUUACAUAAAUAAGAAUUGCUUAAUAAGAGAGUAUCAUUAUAAUAUUCUCUAGCUUAGACCUCAAGGUAUUUUGCAUUUUAAACAGUCUUAAUUUUAUAUCCUUGCCUUGACCUCAUUGUAUAUGUUUUUCUACUGUUAUUAAUGCUACUGAUGAGAUUACACUUUUUCCUGCAUAUUAAAAUCUGUUAUCAGGGACUCAUCUUGGACUUUUAGCUUAAUUUUUAACAUCUUAAAUUCUGUCAGUUUUCAUAAACCUACUCUGUUUUUCUUAAUCUACCACCAAUAUCAAGGGUAUAAUAUAAAAAAUUACAUGUUCUAUUUGACAUAUGUUGUCUUCAACCUGAUUCAUAAAUGAUGAGAGCCCAGGACUCCUCACCCUAAUCUUACCUGACCAAGAAGAGAUUGAAAUGAGGAUGCAGAAAGAUAUUUUGGUGGCAGAGCCAAAGUCAUGCAUCCUCAGAGAGGUACAAAUUUCUCAGGUCUUCCCUAGUCACAGGUCCAACUGUUCAAAGGCACCUGUAAGGACCUUGCUAAGUUGGUCCUUUAGGAACUAAGAUUCUUCAAAUGUAGGAAAAGCUCACACAAUGGUGAUUUUCCUGUGUAAAUUACAGGAGGCUUUAUACUACAGUUGAUUUCUUGGUACAUUAAUUUGUUUGCAAAAAUCUCUAUUGUGUCACAAUUCAAACCCUCUCUUUGUGGUUAUAAGACAAGCUUUGAGGUUACUGAUCUGCCUGGUUCACAGGGAUGAUGCCAUGUAUUUUUAAUCAUUCACCAGAGGUGGUCAACCAGACUGCGGGGGACCCAGUGGGGCUGAGAUGUGGCUGGUACUAACAAGGAAGCCCACAAUCCAUAGUAUUUUCAUUUAUGUCACAGGUGUCACAAUUGACAUGGUCAGGAAAUGAAACCUCUAAGGGAAAGUGAGAACGAGAAAAGUGAUAGGCUAGGGGGAGAGGAGGAAAGAUGACAUUGAUCUGCAAGCUGGGAAGGGAGCUGCUAUGGUGGCUGGUGAACAGAUGUCCUCUGCUGUCACCAGCAUUCUGCAGCUCUGGAAUGGAAGGAUUAAAGCCUCUUUAGAGGCAACGGAACACGUUUUUUUCUGUUAAGUAUUCAAGGCUGGUUCAUUUUCAUGCCAGGCACCCAGAUUAACUUUGGUCAACAUGGAGAUCGAGAAAUAAGAAAAUGUGCAAAGACAGUAUCUAUCAAGUCCCGUUGUUUCCUGUAUGGAGUGUUUUACUUCCCAGCCUGCUUUUUGACAUUUCUGCUGCUUCCUGUUUAGUUCAGGUCUUCUCUGCUUUUGUCCUGUGUGUUGACUGUAGUCUCCAAUGCUCUCUUUCUCCUCAUUCAAAACAUUUUUUGCAUGCAUUAUUCAAGCUUCCACAUGGAACACAUAGUUUGAAAUUGGGUUGUUCGAGGACGCUUAUUGUUGUGAUUUGGAUGGGAGGUGUCCCCCAAAAGCUUAUGUGUGAGACAAUGCAAGAACACUGAGAUGAAAU
rnacentral:lncRNA from 1 species